rnacentral:rRNA from 1 species
ACGGGAGGCAGCAGUGAGGAAUAUUGGUCAAUGGUCGGAAGACUGAACCAGCCAAGUAGCGUGAAGGAUGACUGCCCUAUGGGUUGUAAACUUCUUUUAUGCGGGAAUAAAAAGGAUUACGUGUAGUCUGUUGCAUGUACCGCAUGAAUAAGGAUCGGCUAAUUCCGUGCCAGCAGCCGCGGUAAUACGGAAGAUCCGAGCGUUAUCCGGAUUUAUUGGGUUUAAAGGGAGCGUAGGCGGGCCUUUAAGUCAGUGGUCAAAGCGUGUGGCUCAACCAUACCACGCCGUUGAUACUGGAGGCCUUGAGUGCACAUAAGGAUGGUGGAAUUCAUGGUGUAGCGGUGAAAUGCUUAGAUAUCAUGAAGAACUCCGAUUGCGAAGGCAGCUGUCCGGGGUGUAACUGACGCUAAUGCUCGAAAGUGCGGGUAUCAAACAGGAUUAGAUACCCUGGUA